AACGAACGCUGGCGGCAUGCCUAACACAUGCAAGUCGAACGAAGGCUUCGGCCUUAGUGGCGCACGGGUGCGUAACGCGUGGGAAUCUGCCCUUAGGUUCGGAAUAACAGUUAGAAAUGACUGCUAAUACCGGAUGAUGACGUAAGUCCAAAGAUUUAUCGCCUGAGGAUGAGCCCGCGUAGGAUUAGCUAGUUGGUGUGGUAAAGGCGCACCAUGGCGACGAUCCUUAGCUGGUCUGAGAGGAUGAUCAGCCACACUGGGACUGAGACACGGCCCAGACUCCUACGGGAGGCAGCAGUGGGGAAUAUUGGACAAUGGGCGCAAGCCUGAUCCAGCAAUGCCGCGUGAGUGAUGAAGGCCUUAGGGUUGUAAAGCUCUUUUACCCGUGAUGAUAAUGACAGUAGCGGGAGAAUAAGCCCCGGCUAACUCCGUG
rnacentral:rRNA from 1 species